ACGAAUAACCAACUAGUCGUAACCAACAAGUCUUGCCCGGUACGAAUAACCAACUAAUCGUAACAAACAAAUCUUGCCCGUUACGAAUAACCAACUAGUCGUAACCAACAAGUCUUUCCCGUUACGAAUAGGUUUCAAAGUAAACCCUAACUUUUAAUUUUCCCUUUCUCACUCUCUCUCUCAAAAUAUUAUUUCCCCUUUCUCUUUCCAAUGUUGAAGCAGCUCGACCGUCGUCCUCCGUCCUCACUCCCGCAACUCCAUUGAAGCAUCUCGGUUAUUAGCUCAAGCUCCGUUUUCUCUCUCUCUCUAUUUACUUAUAAACCCAAUUUACUUCUUCUUGUUCCCCUUAUUAGGGUUGUCGAUGCGUUACCAAAUCAAGUGAAUGGAACUUGGAUACGAAUACAUACUUGUUUUUCUCUGAAACCCUACAACAGCAAUGACAAUUCUCCAGUUGAAGCAUACGUAACUUAAAGUUGUGAACCCAGAUUUAUUAAGGAGCGGAAAGAGAAGGAUCCAAAGAUGGAUGUAGCAGUAGCAACUAAGUUUGCUGCAUUACCAUGGAGAUUAGGAUGCUAAAGUGUUGUCAAAGCCUUAAAAGGAUUCUCUUAGUCGCCUAGAACUCUCGUCUGUGGAGCUGUAUCAACUACACUGGUAAGCAUGAUCUCACAGAAAAUGGCUAAUAACUAUGUUAACAUUCUGUUUCCCUUAUUUGACAUGGUUCGCAGAACUUUUGAUGAUUGGCUUUCCAUAUGUAGCAGUCUAUUUAGGUGAGUUAAUAUAUUAGUGUGUUAUCAUUGACUACUUCAUUCUAGAUUAUUGGAUGAAGUUGUGAAAAUUGGCAGAGCAUGUUAACAAGAUAAGAAAACUUAUAGAAAAUUUGUGCAAGUGGGUAUGAUAAAGAAGAAAAGGCAGCUAGGUUAUACGACUUGGCAGCUCUUAAGUACUGGGCCCCACUGCCACCACCAACUUCCCGGUAUUUUGCAAUUUGAAUUCGAGCUAUACUAAUUAUACUUAAUAUCGUAAUGUCAUGUUCUUGCUAAAAAAGCUUAUCUUGUGGGUGUGGAGCAAAAAGGUGUUAAAGUGGAUUCUUUUGGAAUAGAAGAAUCUCUGAAAGAAUCUCUGAAAAAGCUUAAAAAUCGGUUUCUUUUUUGGAUUUUGGCCCGUCAAACUCGUCGUGCAGGUGGUUCGUGGGCUAUAGACCCGAAGAAUGUCGAAACCCAACAAAUAGCCAAUGCUAUGUAAGUGUUGUUCUAAGCAACCAAGCAUAUUUUAUUUGCAUUACUUUUGAGCUGAUCAGUUAUGAUCUGGCUUUUUGUAUUUAUUGCUCAUUUCCUACAUUUUUUAAUGGGAGGCAUUUUCAGUUUAUUGCUCA